rnacentral:rRNA from 1 species
UACGUAGGGGGCAAGCGUUGUCCGGAAUCAUUGGGCGUAAAGCGCGCGUAGGCGGCCCUGUAAGUCCGUUGUGAAAGUCAAAGGCUCAACCUUUGAAAGCCGAUGGAUACUGCAGGGCUAGAGUCCGGAAGAGGCGAGUGGAAUUCCUGGUGUAGCGGUGGAAUGCGCAGAUAUCAGGAGGAACACCAAUAGCGAAGGCAGCUCGCUGGGACGGUACUGACGCUGAGGCACGAAAGCGUGGGGAGCAAACAGG